AUGAAGGCGGCAAAGAAGCAGGUUCCCCGAGAGUCCCUGACCUUUGUGCUGCGCGGGCACCGGGCCCCGCUCCGAGAGAAACGAAGUGAAUUUCUCAGUAAUACUCAGAAAACUGCCCAUGGCCAGCAUCAUAAUUCUCAUGUAUUAGUCAGCAAUCGGGCCUCUUCGAACAAUCUGGAAGAUACUUCAUGGAAUCAAGAAGAAGAAAUGGCUAGAUUGUCUUCUCGGGAGGAUGAUCCCAGGAUUGAUGACUUAGAAGAAAGUUUACAGAAGUUGAAGGUCCAAGAGGGCAGCUUGGCCUCCAGGUGGAAUUCUGCUUCUGACACAGAAGAUGCUACCAGUUCAGAUGCCACCGACCUCUGGAGCCCUGGCCAGUCUCAGUGGCCUGAAGGUCAAAGUACCCCAUCUCCUCUAGGGGAGAAAGAAGCCCUGCCAAAGGCACCCAUAGAUUGGGAAUGGUUUCUGAGUCCACAAAGCUUGGCCAGCCCAUUGGGAAACUACUCACGUCUGAGGACUUUAGGCCUUCCAUCGAGGUCCCUGUCUCCAGGCGACUACACGGCAAGCCUUCUGGAAAGGGGGAUUUUGACUCGUAGCUGCCUACCAUCUGUGGCCUUGGUGAUGGAUGGAUCUCCUGCACAGUCUAACCCCCCUAAACUAGGAGCACCUCAUGUGAUCGGUGUGAAGUCCCUGCUGCCACCCAAGAUUCCGGUGAGGUUCUGUUCUCCCCAGAGGAGAGGUGCCUCUCCUGGAGUACCCAGAGGCAGGUCUCUUUCUCUUACACGGUCCCAUUCUUUCUCUCCUGCUUCCAAAAGGAUGCGAUGGGUCCGAUCUCGUUCUCAGUCCCCCAGGCCCAUGUGGAGACCCAACUCUACCAAUGGCAAAGCUUGUGCACAGCCCCCACCCCAGUUCAUCCCACCUGGGGGAAGGAGGAAGAAAACUUCUCUGACCAGACCAGCACGGUCUCGAAUUUAUAAACCAUGGCCCUGGGCUGCCCGCCAGGGCUGCCUGCCCCUCAAAACCAAGGAAGAAGAUGUCCUGGACCACUCCUGGAGCCCUUACUGCCUGCCUGUGCCUGGAAUCUCCUCUCCCUUGGCUCAGGAGAUGAACGAAAGGUUCUUCCAGACCCUUGAAGAAGGGAAUGUGCCUCUGUCCCUGGGAACUGUGGCCCCCAUCCAGAAAGCCCAGACAAGAUUCCGUUUGCAGUGCCUGCGGGCAGAGGAAGAAUGGGUGUUGGAGCUGAAGAGGCAGCAAGAAUUAGAACGGACCCGAGGCCCCAAGUCCAAGUGGUAUGAGAUGAAAAGCUCCCAGUUCCACUAUGAAGCCCACAAACAGAAUGAGUCGUUGAAGAACAGCCAGGACUCACGGUCCCUUCGUAACUCCAGGCGGGCACUGGCUUCGGAGGCCAAGGACUUGGACAAGCGCCGCCGGCCUACGGGGCAGAAUGAUGAGUAAUGAGACCCGAAGGUGAAGGAAGCUAAUGGGGGCCCCAGACCCCAAAGGGGCCGCCUUCAAGGGCCAGCUCGGCUCACGGAAGGUCUCACCUGGGAAGAGAGACCUGACGCGGGAGGACCGCUGGGCUCGCUCUCACCCAGCCCAGCAGGGCUGGCUUCGGCCGCCCAGACCGACGCUCAUUCAUUCUCUGGCGCGCUCGCUCGCACGCCAGCUGCCAAGGGAGCCGCCAAGCGUAGCCAAGACAGCCCCGGCUCUCAUUCAGUUCAGUAAAACAAACACUUAGCAAGGGCUGCUGCGUCCAGGGCUUUGGGGAGCUCACCGCCUCUGCAGAGGGAGAAGAUAAACAGAACUGUAACGUACACUAGGACAAGGUGAGUGCUCCAGAGAGCCACGAGUGCUGUGUGGAGUCCCAGGAAGGGGGUUCUUGCCAGCCAGGGGCCGGAGCUCCAGAUCCGGGAAGUCUCCCUGGAGAAAGCAGGUUUUAAAGAAUGAGUAAAAGGAACAGCGAGGUGACUCAGUGGACGGAGAGCCGGGUCUGGAGACAGGAGGUCCUGGGUUCAAAUCCAACCUUGGACACUUCCCAGCUGUGUGACCCUGGGCAAGUCACUUGACCCCCAUUGCCCAGCCCUCACCACUCUUCUGCCUUGGAGCCCAUACACAGUACUGAGUCUAAGGUGGAAGGUGAAGUUUAAAAACAAAAUAAAGAUUCAACAAGCAAAGAGGAGGAAGAAGGC
rnacentral:lncRNA from 1 species